UUAUCCACUCCCGGUGUCUGGGCUUGGGAGGAGCAGGAACCCAUUGCUAAAAUGCUGGUUGCUCAUUCCCUCUCCCUGCUGACCAGCUUCUGGGGCAUGGAUCGCUGAAGAAUUGCUGAGCCUUUGCAUUCCCAGCUCGCUUCUAAUCCCUUUGGACCAUGACCUCUGGCCGCCCAAGAAGGGGCUCUAACUGGUGCUGCCUUCCUCAAGACAUCCCGCUGUGGCCCCGACAGCUGGCCAGGUAGACAUCCACCCACAAGGAAGAAAACUGAUUCUCACGGGCCCCUGGUCUCCACUCAUUGCUGCAGCGUGUGCUUUAUACACACAAAUAACAUUUUUAAGAAGGUGACUUUUGGGACCUCAGCCCUUCCUCGCCCUCCUUUCCUGUUUACCAGCCUCCCCCACCACAUGCCUCCUGCCGUGACCUGCCUUACCACAGCAGCCACGGCAACAGGGCCAAACACCAGACACUGAACCGCCUGAAGCUGUGAGCCGAAGCAAACCUUCCUUUUCACCGGAUUGCCUCCAGCGUUUUGUCCUAGGGAUGGAAAGCUAAGUAUUGCAGUUCCAGACUAUGAAAGAAUGGAAGAGACUUUAGACAAGAUCUAUUCAUCCCCAAGUCCCAGACUAUGAACUAUAUGUGUUCUGCGCAACUAAUAGACAAAUUGGGGAAAUAAAAACAAGAGAAAGCAGGCUGGCAAGGUGGCUCAUCGGGCAAUGGCACUUUCUGCCAAGCCUGGUGACCUUUCGUUGGAUCCCUAGGUUCCAUGGUGAUGGAAGGAGGGAACUGAUUCCCCAAGUUACCUUCCAACGUCAUAGAAUACCUACCCACAUAGUAAGUAAAUAAAAUGUAACUUAAAAUUUUUUAAAGAAAAAAAUUUCCUUGAGGUUAAGGCAUUAAAUUUAAGUAUCUGCCUUUCAUUUUAAAAUCUAAAAGAGUUUUAUGAUAAAUUGGUGAUAGGCAGUACAGUACUUAGUAUGUUUGACAAAAUGAAGAGGUGGCCAUGCUACAUUGAUUUCCGUUUCUUGAUUCUCCAUGAGAAACCUCAGUCUAGCUUAACUCCUCAUUUUGUGUAUGUACAUGAACACGAACAUUCAUUCAUACGUGGGGUACAUGUGUGUGGAAAGUCAGAGGCUAGCCUUGGUUGUCUUCCUCAGUUGAUUGCUACCUUAUUUUUUAAGAUGGAGUCUCAGGUACUUCUGCCCCCAUGCCUGGAUCCUAUUUUUUUGGGGGGGUUCUGAGACGGGGGUCUUACUGUUUGGCUCUGGAGUUCCCUCUACAGACCAGGUUGGCCUCGAGCUCACAGAGAUCCACAUGACUCUGCCUCCCAAGUCUGGAAUUAAAGAUGUGUUCCACAACUGCCUGGCUUCAUAGCUGGCUCUUUAUGUGGGGUCUGUGACCUGAACCUUGACCCUCUUAUUUUUGCAGGAAGUGCUCUUACCCACUGAAUCAUCUCUCUAGGCCCACCAGUUUACAUGUCUGUGGUGUGGUCUCCUUUUCUCUCCUUUUCUGUCCUUCACAGAACAGGAUGGUUCUGGUUUUCUUUUCUUGAGACAGUUUCAGUAUCCAACAAAGUCAAGCUUGAUUUUACACUCAUGAUCCUCCUGCCUCAGGUUCAUGAGGGCUAGGAUUAUAGAUGUGUACCACCGUGGCCAUCUUGAAGUUUAAAUUUUAAUAAAGUUCAAUUCUGUCAAA